rnacentral:rRNA from 1 species
AUGUUCUUUAAAUUUAAAAAAUUUGGCGGUAUUUUAGUCUGUUCAGAGGAACCUGUUUUGUAAUCGAUAAUCCACGAUGAACCUUACUUAAAUUUAUUAAUUAGUUUGUAUACCGUCGUUAUAGAAAAUUUUAUAAGAAUAAUAAUUUUCAAUAAAUUAAAUAUAAUUAUAUAUCAGAUCAAGGUGCAGCAUAUGUUUAAGUUAAUAAUGGGUUACAAUAAAAAAAUUUAUAUGGAUAUAAAUAUGAAAAAUUUAUUGAAAGUGGAUUUGAAAGUAAAAUUAUAAAGAUUAAUAAUUUGAUUUUAGCUCUAAAAUAUGUACAUAUCGCCCGUCACUCUUAUUAUUAAGAUAAGAUAAGUCGUAACAUAGUAGAUGUACUGGAAAGUGUAUCUAGA